rnacentral:misc_RNA from 1 species
AAGUCGUAACAAGGUUUCCGUAGGUGAACCUGCGGAAGGAUCAUUAACACGUUUUUACGUCUAUCAACCAACUGUGCAUUCUUCGUUGAAUUCCUUGAGAGCUCAACGAUGUUUUUCACAUUUCUCACCAUUAUGUCACUUAGCUGUUGUUUUGAAGAAUCGCUCUUCGGAGCUCUUCUUCCAUGUUCUUUGAAACAUUCUCAAUGUCUCAAUAGGAUCAUACAACUCUUAGCAAUGGAUAUCUUGGUUCUC